UAGUGGUAUCCCUUCUCUUACACGACUUCCAUGAUUCCUGCUUACUGUCAUCGAUUGGAAAUAUUCUUUAUAUUCAGAAGACUAAAAGACCUAGCUUUACUCACACAGCAGAUGAUUGUUUACAAUAGAUCCAGUCAGUGGCGUUGCGACGGUGGGGCUAACAGUGCUAUAGUCCUGGGCGUGGCCCCCGUAGCCCCGAGACUGGCCCCAGCUCGCUCCGCUAAUAUCUCCAGCCGCUAGUCUUGGAUCUACACUCUGUGAGGGAUUUGAUGCAUCUUAUUGAACAGCUGCAGGAUGUCAGUCUACCGGAAAAUUUUCUACUAGUCACAUGUGACGUGGAAUCUCUUUAUUCAAAUAUUAUGCACGUGGAUGGAAUUAAGGUGGUCUCUGAGAUCUUGGGGUACUCCCAAGGUAUAAAGGAACAAUGUGUGGAAUUCAUUGAACAACUCAACAACAACAAUGUACAUAUCAAGUUGGUCUGGCAGAUUUCAGAUGUUAUGGUUGAAUUCUUGGAUUUGAGGUUGUUGAAGAAGGAGGAUUGAUUAUUACAACUUUGUUCCAAAAAACAACAGCAACUAACAGCCUCUUGCAUUUUGAUAGCUUUCAUCUGGAACAUACACUUAAAGGUGUCCCUAUGGGCCAAUUUCUGCGAGUAAAGAGGAAUUGCUCUGAACCUGAGGAAUUCAAGAAACAUGCAAAAGAUUUGACUGACCGAUUACGGGCCAGAGGAUACUCUAAAAACUUUAUUUCAAGAGCCAAUGUGUGGGAGAGAUGUGGUACCAGCACUAGCUACCUGCUGCUGUUCAAGUCUUAAUGUUAACCAGUGGCAAAAUGCUAUAUCUUGAAGUCACACCUGUGAACUGUGUGGUGCUGUACACGCUGUUGGAUAUAGUGCAGACAAUUUCAAAAACCAAGGAAUGAAGCGGAGCAACUCACCAGGUAUGUGGUAAAGGGAUUUCUUUAUUUCACUUGCAUCGUGAAGGCAGGAUUACAGACAGGGGAGCGAGAUGGUAUACAUGCGGGGGUAUUCAAGCUUGGCGAAGGACCGUUCUCGCGCCGAAGUGCUUUGUCAGGCCGAUGCUUGAUGACGUCAGGGAAGAGGUGUGCUUAUAACAGGUAAGGGUCACCUUACAGGAGUCGAGAUGGAUUUUCGACUUAAA